UACGUAGGGUGCAAGCGUUGUCCGGAAUUAUUGGGCGUAAAGAGCUCGUAGGCGGUUUGUCGCGUCUGCUGUGAAAACUCGGGGCUUAACUCCGGCCUGCAGUGGGUACGGGCAGACUAGAGUGCGGUAGGGGAGACUGGAAUUCCUGGUGUAGCGGUGAAAUGCGCAGAUAUCAGGAGGAACACCGGUGGCGAAGGCGGGUCUCUGGGCCGUAACUGACGCUGAGGAGCGAAAGCGUGGGGAGCGAACAGG
rnacentral:rRNA from 1 species